rnacentral:rRNA from 1 species
ACUCCUACGGGAGGCAGCAGUGGGGAAUUUUUCGCAAUGGGCGCAAGCCUGACGAAGCAACGCCGCGUGGAGGAUGAAGGCCCUAGCGGUCGUAAACUCCUGUCUAGCGGGACGAAAGUUUUCGGGGUGAACAAUCCCGGAGAUUGACUGUACCGCUGGAGGAAGCUCCGGCUAACUCCGUGCCAGCAGCCGCGGUAAUACGGAGGGAGCAAGCGUUACUCGGAAUUAUUGGGCGUAAAGGGCGCGUAGGCGAUUUGGCAAGUCUUGUGUGAAAGCCCACAGCCUAACUGUGGAAGUGCACAAGAUACUGCUGAAUUUGAGUUCAGGAGAGGAAGGCAGAAUUCCCGGUGUAGCGGUGAAAUGCGUAGAGAUC